rnacentral:lncRNA from 1 species
CAGUGAUGUUAGGGAUCGAAACGGUAUUUGGAAGGCCAUAUAAUUUACUCUCAAUUUAAGAUUGACUCUUGAAUUUUAAGAGACAAUAUAGGAUGAACGGAUCAUAUAAACCGGAGGGAAAAUAUGAUACAUGCCCAAACAAAAAAUAUAAACGAGUCUAAAUUGAAAACUACGUUCAAACCUAUGAUUGCGUUGGAUAAAAACCGCAAUUUUUAUACGUGUGCAUGUCAAACAAAUUUCGUUGUAGAAGGGUCUAAAAACAGCACAAACAACAUUUUCCAAAAGAC